rnacentral:rRNA from 1 species
CGGCGGACGGGUGAGUAAUGCCUAGGAAUCUGCCUGGUAGUGGGGGACAACGUUUCGAAAGGAACGCUAAUACCGCAUACGUCCUACGGGANAAAGCAGGGGACCUUCGGGCCUUGCGCUAUCAGAUGAGCCUAGGUCGGAUUAGCUAGUUGGUGAGGUAAUGGCUCACCAAGGCGACGAUCCGUAACUGGUCUGAGAGGAUGAUCAGUCACACUUGAACUGAGACACGGUCCAGACUCCUACGGGAGGCAGCAGGG